GAGGGGAUAGCUCAGUGGUAGAGCACAUGCUUAGUGUGCAUGAGGUCCUAGGUUCAAUCCCCAGUACCUCCU
rnacentral:tRNA from 1 species